rnacentral:rRNA from 1 species
UGGGGAAUAUUGGACAAUGGGCGAAAGCCUGAUCCAGCCAUGCCGCGUGUGUGAAGAAGGUCUUCGGAUUGUAAAGCACUUUAAGUUGGGAGGAAGGGCAGUAAGCGAAUACCUUGCUGUUUUGACGUUACCGACAGAAUAAGCACCGGCUAACUCUGUGCCAGCAGCCGCGGCAAUACAGAGGGUGCAAGCGUUAAUCGGAAUUACUGGGCGUAAAGCGCGCGUAGGUGGUUCGUUAAGUUGAAUGUGAAAGCCCCGGGCUCAACCUGGGAACUGCAUCAAAAACUGGCGAGCUAGAGUAGGGCAGAGGGUGGUGGAAUUUCCUGUGUAGCGGUGAAAUGCGUAGAUAUAGGAAGGAACACCAGUGGCGAAGGCGACCACCUGGGCUCAUACUGACACUGAGGUGCGAAAGCGUGGGGAGCAAACAGG